rnacentral:piRNA from 1 species
UGCAAUCAAAAUCACUGUGAGGCCAUUUAC